AUGUCUUUGUGUUUGUUUGAAAACGUCCAGGUCCUAAUUGAAGAGAAGACUGAAGAACCACAAAUCUCAACAUUACGAAAGAGAGGGAGACCAUCGAAACAAUCCACUUCACGUACGAAGAAACAAAAAGCUCCUAAUCCUUUAUGGAUUGGAAGAUGGCUCAAGCGAUAUAAAAUAAGGAGAGAUGGAAGAAAAGAUGCUUUUUACAUUCAUAAGAUGAUACCUAAACUUACUUGUCGAUCUAAGAAAGAGGUAGAGAGAUAUGAAGAAUAUGGAAUUUGUCCAGGUAGAAAAGCAGAUGAAAAUGGAAAUGAAAUACCUAAGAGUAUCACUAAAAAAGAAAAAGGUUAG